rnacentral:rRNA from 1 species
CAGCAGCCACGGUAAUACGGAGGGAGAUAGCGUUGUUCGGAAUUACUGGGCGUAAAGCGCACGUAGGCGGCUUUGUAAGUUAGAGGUGAAAGCCUGGAGCUCAACUCCAGAAUUGCCUUUAAGACUGCAUCGCUUGAAUCCGGGAGAGGUGAGUGGAAUUCCGAGUGUAGAGGUGAAAUUCGUAGAUAUUCGGAAGAACACCAGUGGCGAAGGCGGCUCACUGGACCGGCAUUGACGCUGAGGUGCGAAAGCGUGGGGAGCAAACAGGAUUAGAUACCCGCGUAGUCCCUGUCUCUUAUAC